GACGUAGGGGGCGAGCGUUGUCCGGAUUCAUUGGGCGUAAAGCGCGCGUAGGCGGCUGCGCAAGUCGGUUGUGAAAUUCCGGGGCUCAACCCCGGAACUGCGUCCGAUACUGCGUGGCUAGAGGUAGGUAGGGGAGAUCGGAAUUCCUGGUGUAGCGGUGAAAUGCGCAGAUAUCAGGAAGAACACCCUGGCGAAGGCAGCUCUCUGGGACGGUACUGACGCUGAGACGCGAAAGCGUGGGGAGCGAACAGG
rnacentral:rRNA from 1 species